rnacentral:pre_miRNA from 2 species
UCUUAUGGAUGAGCCAAGAAACUAGUUUCUUGAGAUGGAAUCUACUCCUGGUGAAGAUGCUGUGAA